AUGAAAACAGUCCUAGGGCAGACACCACUGACUAACCCUGCCCAGCAGGAAAGGCAGGGCAAGAUUCAACAUUCACAUUCAAAAAUGAUUGGACCCAGGACUCGCGUGCCAAGUGCUCUCUCAACUGCUGUGCUUCUGCAGGCCGAUGUCUGUCUUCCCCUGCUGCUGGAGGCUGCGGUGAUGGCUUCGCUCCGUGGUAGUCCUGGGGAUGUGGCCACCGUGUCAAGAUGUGGGGUUCCCAGCGUAGAGGACUGGGAAGCACAGGGAAUGUUCAUUCAGUCUGUGCGAAUACCAGCGACACAGAGGGGCUGCUGGGAUCCAAGUACUGGAUUUGGGUUGAGAACCAAGGUUUAAGUCUUGGCUCUGCUGUCUACUAGGUAGGUACCUAUUUUCUCAUCUCUGUAAGAAGGACUAUUACCCUCUUUUGCUUUCUCUUUGGGAGGCUGUGAGGACCUCGGCAGACCCAGCAGAGGGGAAUGUGCCGGCUUCCCUGAGCUGCUGUGCAGUGGUGUUCUGUGGACAGUGGGUGAAAAGCCAAGGGAUCGGGAGGACGCCGCAACUGCAGCCAGGGCUGUCCUUGGGAACCCCCAUCCGAUGCCAGCAUGGACGCUCACGGGCACAGAGACAGCAUAGCUGGGCUUUUGCCAGCAUUUAGACAAAUUGUUGUUUCUUUGGUUGGGGUGUAGAUGAGAAAGUUGGCUUAAACCGGGAGUCACCUUAUCUGGAAAGUUGCUCUCUGGAGAC
rnacentral:lncRNA from 1 species